AAACGCUUGCUGUCUUUUAUUAUCUUGAGUAUAAAAUGGUUAUAUGACAAUCUCUCUCUCUCUCUCUCUCUCUCUCUCUCUCUCUCUCUCUCUCUCUCUCUCUCUCUCUCUCUCUCUCUCUCUCUCUCUCUCUCUCUCUCUCUCUCUCUCUCUCUCUCUCAGCUUUGGAUUAGUAACCCCGUUGACAGAAGUGACACCCGCGUUUUCUCUUCUCAGAUGUAAACAAAGCGGUAGAUUCCUUCCAGCUGGUGAUAAAACUUCCUCUCGCUCUCCCUCACUCUCCCCACGUCACGGAAGUAGUGAUAUAAAGCACACGAGGAGGAAAGCAAUGGCAACACUCCGAUCCGGCAAGCAGGUUGGCGGCAGCGAUGGCGGUGGCAGCGGCAGCGGUGGUGAGGUGGACGGCAGGGACAGAGGGGCAGUACAGGCUGCGGACAUCAAAGAGAAGAGGAACGCGCGGACAAGCAAGGUGGUAUUCAGCAGUCUGAUCCUGGACCUGCUCGGCUUCACAGUGGUGGUGCCUCUGUCUUCUGCUCUCCUCGUCUGUUACUCCAAGCACGACUCCAGCGGCUUGUAUUCCUCUCUGCUCUCCUGUGUUACUUAUUACCAGCAUAUCAUCAGCGUUCCUGCGAGGUUCCACUCUGUCUUGUUUUGGUGGCACUGAUUGGUGUUACAUUCAGCAUAGGCUUCACCGUCGGGCACACUGUGGGGGCUGCGUUUUCCCGCUGGGGAAGUACUGGGUGGUUCGCGGCCUCGGCUGUCUACGCACGCACUCUCACUGUGGCUAACAUAAUAUUCUUUGCUGUCUUCUUCCAGGAAUCGCUGCCUGAGGGCAGAAGGAGGAGGGACAUCGGUGCCAGUUUGACCGAGGCUUGGGAGGUGAUCAAUCCUAGGGCUCUGUUCUCCGUCAGCUGUGUCAAGGGCCUGGGCAGAGAAGCCUGGAGUUAACGCUGAUCUUCGCGACCCACCACAAGCAUAGUUAUGACUCGUUGGCGCAGGACCGCAAGUUUUCCUUCCUGGGCCUGGUCAUGGCAAUUACACAGAGAGGGUUUAUGCGAAGUGUUAAGACUGGAACUGAAAAAGCAACUGCCAAUUAGUCGAGGUACUGCACCAUCCUACGUGUACCGGCAGCUUAGCAAACUGUACCGUCCCACUUCUUGUGAUCUCUAAGGUAACAGCUUUAAUCCUUGCAAAUAAGGAAUAAGAGAAAAGAGACACACCUGCCAUUUGUACUGUUAUGCUGUAGUGUUCUGUCAUUUUUUUCCUCUUUUAUCCUAGAACCAUUUUUGGUCAUUCAUGUUUCUAAAAAUUAUUAUACAAAAAUGUUGAGCUUAAUAUGUUUGGUGUAGUUUUUUGUAACAUGUGUUAUUAUUGUUAAUGUGUGUGGUUCCCCUCAGGAAGAAUGUUGCAGUAUUAGCAGUAAUGUUACAGCCAAUGGAAGUGUCUGUAUUGUGCUUUGGUGGGAGGUUAAUUUGAUGUAUUUUUAGAGUUGUGCAGGAUAUUAUAGCAAGCCCUCAAAAUAAAGAAAAUAACUAUAGAAAA